rnacentral:lncRNA from 1 species
CAGCACUGACUCUUCCAGGCUGGCAGAUACUAUGUGCUGUGACUGUUGGAGAAUUGUCACCUUACAAGCAAAACACCAAAAGGGUGGACAUACUACCUCAGUAAUUGCAUAACUCCAUUUUCCUUUCCAAACUACUUGGGACAGAGCUGGCAUUUAAGAAGGGUGAUUGAAAAAUAUCAAGUGAAAGAUACCUCUGUUUUCCUUCCUCUCAGGCAAUGUUGGCAGCAAGCACACACACAGUAACGUAAGAAACUCUAAUCUUGAAAUGGCUUUCCAUCUUGAAAUGGCAUGUUCCAAGAGCAAUUGUAUUACCUGUACCAACAGAUAUGUGAAUUUGUGUUGCGUUUGGCUGUAGUUACAAGCUGUAUGCUGUUUUUCUUGGCAUAAGGAAAAUCCACAUUCUGGAAUGUCACUGCUUGUUUGCACACCACUCCCUGACAAACUCUGGUGGCUCCUUUGGUGAUCUGCUAGCUUGAAGCAAGGCAGGGAUAACAUAGAACAAGUACAUAAGAUCUAUGUAAAAUAAAACUAAAUUCUAAAGACA